CUCUAUACGCAUCUGGACGAGGCCAACUCUCACGCGCAGACAGUUCAGUCUGCACGUCUCUUUCGCUCCGCGCUCACGCGACCUCCUGUCUGUGUCUCCGCCGUGAUGAUUCCGGCCGGCCGCCGCCGUCUCCGGCGCCGCCGCCACAUGGUGCUGGUCCUCCUCUCGAUGAUCUCCCCUUACCCCCAGUUCGAUUUAUCUAUUGUCGCCCGUCGCGCACGCCCACGACUCUGGAAACCCGACGUCGCCGUCGGCUUGAUUCGGCCGUCGUCGGCUCCCUUUGGCGUUGCGGUGCGCCUCCUCUGCUCGGCCUGGUUUCCUCCAUCAACUCUCCACCUGCGUUUCUUCUCUACGCCCCCGCUUACUCGCCCCACAGCAAACCCUUGCCGUAGCUCGGCUCGCCGCUCCGGCCGCUCGCCGGCCACCUCUGGCAUCGCCGCCAGCCGGCGAAGCUCCGCCUUGGUGUUCUCUACUCCCUGAAUUGUUCGAUUUGUUCUCCGAGUCCGCUUUCGUCCGCCUCCAACCUGGAACCCUAGGUCGCCGUUGGUGGUCUUUUGGCCGCCGCCGGUCUCCUCCACUGACGCUGCUCCCCGGCGUGGCUUUGCCACGGAUCUCCCGGCCAUCUACCGCUGCCUCGACGUGCUCUACCUGGCCCCGGUGGACGGCAGUGUCUGCAAGCCCGGUGCCCUCCAUCUACUGGUCGGUUGCUUUGGUGGUGGAUUGGUGGUGGUAUAGAUGUGAUGACAUGGGGUGGUGGUGUGGUGCUGCGAUGACUACUUCAUCCUCGACUUCGAUGCCGGCGGGACGGCGCUGCGCACGCAACCACGGCAUCGACUUCUUCCUCUUUGAUCACUGAAAAGAAUAAGAAGAUUGGGAGAGAUUUGGAAGAUGAAGAUUUAGUUUAGGAUUUCCUCUUUAUUACUUUUGUAAUCUUCUAUUUCUUUUGGAGCUUGUAUAUGAUUGAAUUAUGAUAAUUGAAAUAAGGUUUAAAUUAUCCA